rnacentral:rRNA from 1 species
AUGAAGGUCCGCGCAUCGGUGAAGCGGCUGUGCGGAUUCUGCAAGGUGGUGAAGCGCCGGGGGAUCGUCUUCAUCCACUGCACCUCCAACCAGAAGCACAAGCAGCGCCAGGGCUUCUCCACCAUCGCCGCCUGCCUCCCGCCCCCGCCGCCCGCCUCCGCCUCCGCCGCCGCGUUCGCCGAGGCUUCCAAGGUGGCCCGUCAGGAGAUGUCAACGAAGUUCAACUGGCCGCUGGGUCUAGCUGCCGUGCUCAAGAAUGGUGACAAAUAA